rnacentral:hammerhead_ribozyme from 1 species
AUCCAACUGACGAGUCUUAAAUAGAACAAAACGCUCGUCUUGGAU